rnacentral:lncRNA from 1 species
UCUCUUUUCCACCUUUUUUUUUUUUUUCAUUUCUCGUCCUCUCUUCUAACUCUUUCUUAAUUUAUACUCAAUUAAUACUCUUUCUUAUAUAUAUAUAUUAUACUUCCUAUUUCUCCAUUCUCCACAUAUUUAUAUUUUUAUCUUUCCAAUUUGAAAUUCGGGCUGAAUUGAACUGGAACCGUAUUGGUCCAUUUUGGUUUGGUUCUGCUAUACACUUUCUAUAAAAACCGAAUCGAACUAGAACAUAUGAAAAUUCUGAUUUCGUUUUUAAUUCAAGAGGAAAACCAAACCAAAUCGGACCAUACCUACUCCUAGCGUUUAUUACAAUUAUAGUUUCAAUCCUUUUUUUAACUACACAAAUCCUCUUCCACCUUUCACUCCUCCAUCCUUUUGUUGUUUCUCUUUGAAUUCAUUCAAUUUGGAAGAUAAUUGGAGCCCUUUGGGCUGUAUAUGGGUGAGUGGAGAGGUAAUUGGCACUGCAACAAGAGUUUUUUAUUUUAUUUUUUAUUUUUUAUAAAUAUAAAUAAUAAUUUAAACUAUAAGAAAAGAGAAAUUUUCACACACACUAUUAAAAUAUUAUAAAAUUUUGAAUAUAAGACUACGAAUCUGCAAACUAAUGCUCAUUUCUAUUUGGCAAGACCCUAUUGGUUUUUUAGGUCGUCCAUGCCAACAAAAAUGUCCGAAUAAAUAAAAAGCUUGCAUCUGUCUCCAAGCAGGCACAGGGGGCCCAGCCGUCCAGGGAUGGGGCAAAAAGGACAGUUUCGUCAUUUAACGAAAGAAAGAUAUAAUGGCAUCAAAAGCGUCGCCCUCCGAUUUUGGCAUAUGGGUGACCAGUCAAGGAUGACGAUUUUGACUCGUGGAUACAACAUGUCGAAUUUUGGAGUUGCCAAGUAGACACAACUUGUAGCCUUUGAGUGGAUUUUUUUAAAAAAAAAAAUCUUCGUGCUCCUUUAUUUUUGUGACUCUUAUUAUGUGACGUCAAGGCACAGAAUUUUAUCCUGAUUUUGGUUGUCAGACCAUGAAUUUUUUUAAAAAAAUAAAAAAAAUAAAAAAAACUGACAGCAAUUGGUUGAUGCUUAAAAUUGGACUCAGCAGCUCUGAGCCAGCUGGAAUACCUGAGGAAAGUG